AUAAUUACCGUUCAAGAUGACUGUAAGGUUUGAAAAAGAUAACAUAUGUGAAUGUGCAUAGUGUGGUACCUGAACCAAGGCCUUUGAAGUUCUCUUCAUUCAUCCAAUGGAUGCAGUAAAAAUGCUAGGAUUAGACAUGGAAGGAUUUAAUGAGCCAGGCCUGGAAGUACUGCUCAUCGCUUCCACUCAAACUUCACUGGCCAGAACUUUAUCAUUGGUUUUAAUCUAAUUGCCAGGGGAAGCGAAUAAAGAAGUUGUAUGUCCUGGAGAUGAGGAUAAUAAAGCUACUGGUGACCAUUUUCAGUCUCUGACACACAAGGCAAAAGUCAGGAAGUGGAUUUACAGCUUUGAAGUUUCUGCUCCUUACAUGUUUCUAAGAAGCUAAAAGUUACCAAGUUAGCACAUGGAAUUAAAAUCUGGAGCUCAAAUAAAGAAUAAAGACAACUAAAAAUAUUUCAUGCCCUCAUUUUUUUGAAGCUUUGAAGCGCUUUUUUUUUUUUACGAGUUAAUGUUAUGGCCCUAGUUGAAAGUACUUCUAUCAUUGUCAUUUUAUUCUGUACAGCGUUACACUAACAUGG